UUUUCAACUUUCCAAGUUCAUCAAUAUUUAAGACCAAAGCUGUGUGAUUUGUAUGAAAAUGAUUCAAUCUUUGACAAAUUUGAGCGUUGCCUAAGUGGUGAUGGAUUGCGAGUGGCAACAGGUUCCUACAGCAAUUUUUUCCGUGUAUUUGGUUGUGCCCCGGGAAGCACUGAGGCAACAACUCUGGAAGCCAGCAAAAAUCCAAUGAGAAGACAAGUUCAGACUCCCUCAAGGCCUUCCAGAUCCCUAAGUAGUAUAACACGUGUUGUCAGACGAGGAGCAGAAAACCCCGGAGUUGAUGCGAACGGAAAUUCUUUUGAUUUCACAACAAAGUUGCUGCACCUAGCAUGGCACCCUACUGAAAACUCAAUUGCUUGUGCUGCGGCAAACAGCUUGUACAUGUACUAUGCGUAAAAGAUGGUCCAAGAAGAAAUGUAUUUGCUUGGUUAA